UACACAACAAAAAAUAAUUAAAAAAAUCAAGAUGCAGGACGCGUCUGAGCAUAUUAUAAACUAAUGAAUAAGAGAGGAUCAGGUGCUACCAUUUCUAUUUUGAGCGCGGGCAGGAAUAGAUGAAGUGUUGCUUGAAGCUGCUCUUCUAUCUGCUAGUAUCUGCAUGAACACUAGAAAGUCUGAGGUAGAUAAUAGAGACUGGAAACAGUAGAAAGUAGACCAUAUUCUUCUUUUUUCACGCCAGUAAAAGGAUCAUUUGAUAGCGUCUUAAAAGAUAUAACACAAACAUCAA